rnacentral:rRNA from 1 species
UACAGAGGUGGCAAGCGUUGUUCGGAAUUACUGGGCGUAAAGGGCGCGUAGGCGCCUUCUAAGUCAGACGUGAAAUCCCCCGGCUUAACCUGGGAACUGCGUCUGAUACUGGGAGGCUUGAGUAUGGGAGAGGGAUGUAGAAUUCCAGGUGUAGCGGUGAAAUGCGUAGAUAUCUGGAGGAAUACCGGUGGCGAAGGCGGCAUCCUGGACCAUAACUGACGCUGAGGCGCGAAAGCUAGGGGAGCAAACGGGG